UGGUGAUUCCUCUUUAGUUCUUUCCA
rnacentral:piRNA from 2 species